UCGUACUUGAUUAAAGGUAUCUCCACAUCACUUUAAUUGCUAUCGGAUGAUGCCGGGUUGUAUUCGAUGAACUACAGAAAAGUUUAAACUAAUAUAAAAAGCACAAAUCAACGCAUAUGCACAUUGCGCUUUAAUAGUUCUAAUCUUUCGUUUACUUUUAAAAAAUUAGAGUGUUUAAAGCAGGCUCUCGAGCCUGGAUAACGGUGCAUGGAAUAAUGGAAUAGGACCUCGGUUCUAUUUUGUUGGCUUUCGGAGCCCGAGGUAAUGAUUAAGAGGGACAGACGGGGGCAUUCGUACUGUGCCGUUAGAGGUGAAAUUCUUGGAUCGGCGCAAGAAAACGACUGCGAAAGCAUUUGCCAGGAAUGUUUUCUUUAAUCAAGA
rnacentral:ncRNA from 1 species